rnacentral:rRNA from 1 species
GAUGAACGCUGGCGGCGUGCCUAAUACAUGCCAGUCGAGCGAACAGACGAGGAGCUUGCUCCUCUGACGUUAGCGGCGGACGGGUGAGUAACACGUGGAUAACCUACCUAUAAGACUGGGAUAACUUCGGGAAACCGGAGCUAAUACCGGGUAAUAUAUUGAACCGCAUGGUUCAAUAGUGAAAGACGGUUUUGCUGUCACUUAUAGAUGGAUCCGCGCCGCAUUAGCUAGUUGGUAAGGUAACGGCUUACCAAGGCAACGAUGCGUAGCCGACCUGAGAGGGUGAUCGGCCACACUGGAACUGAGACACGGUCCAGACUCCUACGGGAGGCAGCAGUAGGGAAUCUUCCGCAAUGGGCGAAAGCCUGACGGAGCAACGCCGCGUGAGUGAUGAAGGUCUUCGGAUCGUAAAACUCUGUUAUUAGGGAAGAACAAAUGUGUAAGUAACUAUGCACGUCUUGACGGUACCUAAUCAGAAAGCCGCGGCUAACUACGUG